UACGAAGGGUGCAAACGUUGCUCGGAAUUAUUGGGCGUAAAGCGCACGUAGGCGGCUUGGCAAGUCGGAUGUGAAAUCCCUCGGCUCAACCAAGGAAGUGCAUCCGAAACUGCUGAGCUUGAGUACUUAAGAGGAUCGCGGAAUUCCCGGUGUAGAGGUGAAAUGCGUAGAUAUCUGGAGGAACACCGGUGGCGAAGGCGGCGUUCUGGACUGCAACUGACACUGAAAAACGAAAGCCAGGGGAGCAAACGGG
rnacentral:rRNA from 1 species